UCAAGAAAGAUUUCACAAAGUUAAUUUCGCGUAAAUAAUGAAGCAUAUUUGUUGAUUUACCGAAUAACGAUUUACGAUAUGCAAUUUCAACGACACUUUCACAUCGUUUAGGCGUAAAUGAACGUAUAUAAUUCCAAGUUAAAAUAAAACGAGAAUUUCCAUCGCGCGUUGCAUAAACGACGUGUGUAAAUAAUAAUGUAAUAUUGGUUCUUCUAACCGAUACUGUAAUUUAUGCCAGGCGCGAAAAGGUUAAAAGAUCGCGGCAGAUUUCAUUUUGUUCGAGGUCAACGAUCGAUUCUGCGAGCGAUCGAAAGAAAGUAAGAGUUUUCCCGUAAUAUUUAAAUAAAAUAUAAAUAAAUGAUCAUUUCGAAUCCGGAGAUAGAGUCUUUUCUUUUCUUUUCUCUUUUUUUUUUUUAGCAAUAAAUUGAAAUAAAUUGAAAAGAAAAAAAUUCCGUUGAAAACAUACUCGAUCGACUGUAAAUUAAAGAAACGGAAGUAAAAGGCUUGAUUACUGGAUUCUAAUUACGAAGGAAGUGAAGUGUUAAAACGGUAUAAUAAUUACAAUCGAAACAAAUUUAUGAAAAUUUAUGCGAAUAUUAUUCAACAAUGUGCGUAACGUUAAUAAUUAUACAAACGGAUAUAAGCAAUAAAUGAAACCUCGUUAAUGCACGAGAUUAUUCCGAUAUUAUGCCUCGACAACAACAAUUAUCAAGUGAUAAUUAACAUUUCCAGUAAAUCGCACAUCUGCAAACUUUCUACGAUUAACGAUUUGAUAAUUAAAACAAGGAGAUGAUUAAGUUUUUAUAAAUUGAGUUAUCGAAUCGAAUAAUUAAUAACGAAUAAAUAAUGUCUUUUUUUUUUUUUUUUAAGAUCUCUAUCUCGACGAAAAGCUAAAAUUAAAUCCUAUCGAUUUCCAACGAGUUAAACCGUACGCUUCUUUUAUUCAACUUUCGAUCGCUAAUGUCAAUAAUAGCAUCGAUUUUUUUCAACGAAAUUUACACGAAUUACCAACAUCGACGAGCGUUGAUAACACAUAUACCCUUUAUUUCCAACGCAUGGUACAAAUGUCGCCAUCAAUCUUCAUCGAUAUAUUGAAAUUCGAUCCCAUACGUGCGACGAUAGUAGACGUCGUAAAAUAAAUUAUGCGUUCCUCGUGUGCAUACGCAUCGUUAUCGUAUAUCUUUCUCUUUAUUUAUUUAUUUUUUUUUUUAUUCCUUGAUUUUUUCCUUUUCCUUUUUCUUUUUCCUUCGACAGUACCUAUUCGCGGCCUUAAUAGCGACUUUCAUCUUAUUUUCACCGUCGAAUUGGAAAACCUCGCGUAUGAUAGAUUAAUCACUUCAACCCGACUUCGAUUCAACGUAAAUGGAUACGCGCAUUGCAUCCAUUGGAUGUAAAACGAUGAAUGGCGCGUAUGAAGGAUUCCGACUUGCGAGAUAAUGUAAAAGAAAAAAAUCGGCCCCUUCACCGUACCUGCUCACCUGAACAAUGAGUUUCUCGAAAUUAAUUAACCGUGAACGUGUAGGAUAAUGUUCGCGAUGAUAAAUGUUGGAGAGGCUGACCGAUAUUCGAAGCGAAUGUUUCGUUAAUUUUUCUUUCUGUUUUUAUUAUAAUUGAAUCGGAGUGGUUGAAUCCUCGAUUUAUAUCCCUUUGUGGAUAGAUAAAUAUUUUUUCAAGAUAUAAAACCUUUGAUACGAUUUUUGUUAAUAUUUAAUUCGCAAUUUUUAAUUUCAUUCGAAAUUCUUCAUCUAUCGAGUUAAAAUUACGAUCUAGAUCGCUGGUUUCGCACGCGUUAACAACAGCUUUCACCGUAAACGCAACGAAGGAGUAUUGCGUAAUCGCCAAGUUGGAGGCACGUUUCAACCUUGACUAUUUUUUACACGCGACUCGGGAAGAGUUUAUAGAACGGUUGUACUACAGUCACACGAUAUUGGAAAUGACGAAUUUCGAGAAUUCACGACCAAGCUUCGAGAGAUGCCGGAACUUGCUUAAAGACGAACAAGCUUGCCAUGUGGCGUUGUCGGAGAGCAACGAACCAGGCCAUAAACAAAUUUAUUCGCGCCAGCUUAAAGAGCUAAAUUUAAAUUAUUCGGCCGAUGCUUCCGUUCAAUUUUAUCGAUCGCGACGGCGACGAUUAAAAUUUCUCGAGUCUGAUACGAGUUAUAUAUAUAUCCACGAAAUCGACUUAACAAAAUUAUUUUGGAUAAAUAUUUUUCCAAGGAUAUACAGUUACAUAGAUUAACAAGUAACCUAAAAAAUUCAACGAAAAAAGGAAGAACUUUCACUAUUUCCCUUAUCGAGAUUUUCUUAGAUCUGUAUGAGAACGGGAACGAAAGUUACUUGCAAGUUAUAUCAACAAAGAUCAACAAAUAAGGAUCUCGAUCGAUCUUUAAUUCGCCAUUCAUCGUGAGAUCCAUGAGAAACUAUUUACACGUUUCUCUUGAAUCAGGAAAUGAGAUAAAUUGCCCUCUUUCACCCUUGUUUAAUCUACCGAGCAAACAGGAUAAACGUUACGUUCAUUAAGUUUUUUUCUUAUUCGGUAACAUGUCUUUUUCCGGAUCUAUAUAAAGCGACCGAAACCUCUAUUGUGUAAUAUAAUUAAUUUCUUCUUAAUAAAUAUUUGUGUAAAUUCAAAUAACAUUAGAUAAGAUCACAUAAAUAUCGGAUAAUCACCUGAUCGAGUCGACUUUAUCUAUUUCUACAAACAAUUGAUUUAUUGAAAAAUAUGAACGAAAAAUGUAAAAAUCAAAGACAACAAAGCACAAGUAUUCUUCGAGGCGUUAUUACUUUAAAAUACAACAAGACAAGAAUGAAAUAAACCUCUUUCUACACAAUAUGCAGCGAGUAAAAAAUUCGAAAACAUAUACGCUUACACUAUACAAUGCUAUAGUUAUGCACACAUUCGCGAGGUCCAGUACAUAUCGUGUUUUGUGUUGGGAUGCAAUUAAGGGGGGAGGAAAGGAGCGAAAGAAGAAGAUAGAAAACACGGUAGAAAGAUACGGAACUAACACGAGUCGGGUUCCUAACGCCCACCUGAUCAUACAGCACGGAGUCGACAGAGAAUCGUGCUGAACGUGCGUCGGCUGUCGUCUCGUCAAGAUAAGAGUAAAGCUUGCUCCAUUAUCCUUGGUUAAGAUUACACGAUUACUAAUAGGAAAUCGCAACAAAAAUAUCAGAUUCACACCCGAUGUACUAUUACCAACGUUUAUCCUGUACGCUUGUUUAAGUGUGCGUCGUCGACCGCUUCCGUUAACAAUAAAGACAUAUAUCCGGCUUGUACGCGGAAACGACGUAUUUAUAAUAUUGAUUUGUCGCAUUAAUGACUCGCAAUGUCUAAACAUAGCUCGCUAGCACUAUUUGCUCUUGCGUAUUAUAUUUAUCAAAAAUAUAUCGCAACAAAUUAUUUUUAUUCACUCACCAUAUGUUCCACUGCUUUUUCUUCCAAUUCUGCUAAAGUCCAAUCCACGUGAAAACUCAGAGGCUGUAGGCGUGAUUCCAUUUCCCGAAGCCAUUUCCUCAAACAUUUUACCUCGUGUUCAAAAUCUGUGUAAUAAUAUCUUCUAUUUAAAAAUUUUGAAUUCAUGAAAUUAUAACUUUAGAAUUAUUUCUAAUUUUUAGUAAAACCGAAUUACCUGCCGAAAUAUCCUGUUGAUCGGAUAUAAGUCGAUCAACAGGUGCCAUCAUCUGUUCAACCAAUUCCCAUUUUGCAUUUAAAUGGUCAACACGCCACGCCACUUCAUCUUUCAAAGCAGGGGCAUGUGACACUAAUUUUGCAGCUUGUUCGUUAAAUAACUUUCUUCUAUACGCCCUACGUCGCAGCUCCUCCAUGUGAGCCUUAAAUUUUAUAAAUAAUACAUAUUAAUUAAAUAUAUUAUUUAAUCUUUGACAAGAUAAAAGACUCGGAUAUAAUAUUAUAUAUUUAAAUAAUAUGUACCGCACGCAGACUUUUAUCUAACAAAUUUUCUUCUUUGGAAUAAACCAAUUCUUGAAGAACCCUCAGCCAUGAAUAUAAUUCUGAGAAUUGACUACUAACUUCUUUUAAACUCCAUGAUUGUGUAGAUACAUCAGUCUCAUCCCAUGUUAAUUCACCAUUAGCUUCCUAUUAACAUUGAAUUAAAUAUAAAUAUAAUAUAUAUAUACAUAUUAUAUAUUAUCUGAUAAGUAUUUAAAUCAAGUACAUACUUUACAACUAUCUAUCAAAUUAGUGUCCAUAAUAUAAUCAUAAUUAGAUCGUAUUGCAGCCCAAAAUUCAUCUUUACAAUCCUCACGAUUUGUCCAUAAACGCUGAUUAUGAAAUUGUUUGGGAUCUUUUCUGUAAUACCAACAAAUAUAAGCAUAAUUACAAUAUAAAUAAACAAUAUAAAUAGAUAUAGUUACUAAUAAUAUAGAUGAAACAUUUACUGCAAAAAAGAUUACACAAACCUUUUUUUUGUGAGACUGUUGUAUGGCCUUUCUAUUACUACACCCGCUUGACCAUGCUUUUCUAAGCCAUGGUUCAGCGGCUGAAGUGAAGAUAAGGAGAAACUUAUCUUCAUGGCUUUGCAGUGAUCUGUAAAAAAAAUAUAUAAAAAUCAGAAAAAGAAUCAGAAGAUUAUUCCAUUAAUAUUUAUUGAAUAAAAUAAUAUCUAUAAUAUGUAUAAUAUGUAUAAUAUAUAAUGCAACAUUGCUUCAUAAUAACCUAUAAGAAUUGAUAAAUAAUUACUAUCAAGUAUAUAAUUCUGAAAUUAUACUUUGAUAUUUGAAAUAUUUUAUUGUUAAAAUCAUGCAUCUUUAACCUCAAAAAGCAAGAGCAAAGUACACAAAACAAGUGUUAAUAGAUAUAAUUACAAUAUAUAGUUUAUAUAUAAUAUACAGAUAAGAUAUAACAGUAAAAAUGCAUUAAAUAUAAGAAUAUAAUUGAACGCUAAUAAUCAAUAAUGUGAUUAUAUUAUAUUUAGUUUAUUGAAAUAUUUAUUUGUAAAUAUGAAAAUAUCUGUAUCGAAUUAUAACUAAAUAUAAAAAGAAAAAACAAAAGAAUCAAAAA